UAGAGAAAGCAUGUUGGGUGGGCGAAACGCGUUUUUCUGCUAUAGCGCCACUUAGUGGUGGAAAUGGGUAAUUUUU